CGUAGGGACCAAGCGUUGUUCGGAUUUACUGGGCGUAAAGGGCGCGUAGGCGGCGUGUUAAGUCACUUGUGAAAUCUCUAAGCUUAACUUAGAACGGUCAAGUGAUACUGAUGUGCUAGAGUGCAGAAGGGGCAACCGGAAUUCUUGGUGUAGCGGUGAAAUGCGUAGAUAUCAAGAGGAACACCUGAGGUGAAGACGGGUUGCUGGGCUGACACUGACGCUGAUGCGCGAAAGCUAGGGUAGCAAACGGGAUUAGAUACCCCGGUAGUCCUAGCCCUAAACGAUGAAUACUUGGUGUCUGGAGUUUUUAUUCUCCGGGUGCCGUCGCUAACGUUUUAAGUAUUCCGCCUGGGGAGUACGCACGCAAGUGUG
rnacentral:rRNA from 1 species